UACGUAGGGUGCAAGCGUUGCCCGGAUUUAUUGGGCGUAAAGGGCGCGUAGGCGGCUCUGCACGUUCGUUGUGAAAUCGCCCGGCUCAACUGGGCGGGGUCAGCGGAUACGGCAGAGCUUGAGCAAGCUAGGGGGCAAUGGAAUUCCUGGUGUAGCGGUGGAAUGCGCAGAUAUCAGGAGGAACACCGGUGGCGAAGGCGGGUCUCUGGGCCGAUACUGACGCUGAGGUGCGAAAGCGUGGGGAGCAAACAGG
rnacentral:rRNA from 1 species